UACGCACAUACGUACGUACGUACGUAUGUACGUGCGUACGUACUUGCGUACGUACGUACGUACGUACGUACGUAUGUAUGUACGUACGUACGUACGCACGUACAUAUGUACGUACGCACGUACGUACGUAUGUACAUUACGUACUUAAGUGCGUGCGUG
rnacentral:ncRNA from 1 species